rnacentral:misc_RNA from 1 species
CUCGACUUUCGCUUCUCGUUCUGUUUGCUCCGCGAUGCAAAGUGACAGUUCUCAUCAGCUGUCGUCAUCUAUCAUCAGCUGUCAUUUUUGCUUCGCUUCGAUUUUUAGCGCAAAAAAAAUCAUAAACCAUAAAAAUGUGCGAACAAGUGUAAAGUAAUAUGUACCUUCCAGGCGUAUCAGUAGGAAUUGGAAGAAAAAUGAUUUUACAUUUCUUUAUAUUUUUUGCAUUCAUGACAGAUCAGAAAUCUCGACGCUAUUGAAAAUUAAUAAAAUUCGCUGAUCAAUAUGUAAAUUAAGUAAUGGCACCUGCAAAAGACAAGUGGAUUAGACGUUUUAUAAUCACUGAAACCAGACGGCACAAGAAGGGCUUCACAAUUUACAAAAUUACUUCCAUGAUAUUUCUGAAAUCCUCUCACGAAGAGGUGUCAAAGGUGUCCGUAUGGAAACGCUACAACGACCUGAAGAAGCUCCACUCGGAGCUCAGCAGUUUGCACAAGCGUCUGGGAAUAAAAGAGGCCUUUCCCACCUUCCCCAAGUCCAGGUACUUUGGCAGAUUCGAGGCCGAAGUCGUGGAGGAGAGGAAGAAGUACGCCCUAAAGUUUUUGGAAUUUGUAGGACGACACUCGUACUUAUACACAAGCGAUACCUUCAUCACGUUCUUUGAAACUAGUCACGCGGACAAUUACGUCAGCUAUUGCGCACAUUCCCUGUGCUCCGACACUUCGGAGGACGAUCUCAUCGCUCCCUUGAGCGAUUCGGCAUUUGCGAACGAUGCCGCGGCACAAAAUCAUCUCCAAGCCAUAUCAAAAGCAUCUCGCAACGCCUCGACAAAUCCAUGCUCCACAUUGCCAAAUAAUAUUUAUGCGAACGAGAAGGAAUUCGCAGCUUCCCAGAGGAAGAAUGAAUCUCGUAGCGUCACCAAUUUGCAGAAUGUAAAUGUUAAAAGGGAGGAGCAGAGUUGUAGAACUGAAAAAUCGCCAGCUACCAUCGCAAGAAGCUGCGAUGCGGAUAUCAGGAAUCAAAACUUUGAGGAAAAUGUGACAACCCUAGGCGACGUAUCAGGCUUCGAUAAUGUCAAUAAUAAUAUCAAGGAUCUUUCGAAUUGCAAUGCUCGUCCUGCGUGCUCGAUAUUGCAGGAGAGAGGGAAUGUCUCGUGUCAGAAGGAGGCAGACUUUACGCAGUAUCUCCUGAUAGCUGCCGCUCACAUGAGCGCAGCCUUCAAGCAUGAAUCUAUAGCCGAGUACGAGGAAGCUUUCACGCAGUACAAACUGGGAAUAUCGUGUCUCAUAAAUGGCGUGCAGUUUGAUCCGGACAGUACAAGAAUACCGAGUAUAAAGGAUAAGAUAGCGAAGUAUCUGGCACGAGCUGAGCAAUUAUAUAACAGACACUUGAAUUGUAAUAUCUCGAUAGUAAGCAAACCGGUAUCAGAGCUUCAAUAUUAUAAAGUACUUAAAGUAAUCAAGUCGGUGAUGCUGGUGAAGGAUAUUCGUGCGAAUUGUAACAGGAUAAUAAAAACCGUAGAAAGAUCUUCUAUUCACGAGGAUAAUAUUAGUAAUUAUGUGUUACGUGGACAGGUACCAUACAUGGUACAUUUAUACGCUUGUGUGGAAACUGAGACAACUAUAUUUCUGGUUCUCCAAUACGCAAGUUGUGGAAAACUGUGGGAUUUUAUAAGACUGCAUUACGAAGUAUCUGACAAUUUGCAUACCGAUGUCAUUUCAAAUCACAUGUGUACAAAUGAACAUAUUAAUCAGGAUCUCGAUAGCAAUGAAAAUAUACACGAAUCGAAUAAAACGGAAGAAGUUGUAGAAAAUAAUAAACAGAAGGAUCCUCAAUACUCUGAAGAUGUCUUAAAUGCAGAGUUGGUUAUUACCCAACCCUGCUUAAAUGAGAUCUACAUGGAGGUGCCCACUGUACAAUUGUUGGAAAAGUCGCAAAAGUUGUUACAGUCCGUCAACGCGACCUUGAAAAGAAGCAAUUCCAUCGCAGAUCGGUUAAAUGAAUCCAAGGGAUUGAGACAUUCGAAAGAUACACCUUCAACGAACACUCGAGUAUCUCAAGAAUCAUCGGAUCCUGCGUUACCUGAUAUUUAUUGCAAUAAGUCCAAAAAUAAUAUCAAGAUAGACGACAUUACUGUCGUUGAGAAUCUCUCCAUGAAGAGUUGUGCAAAGGACAAAGCUUCGAAAGGCGUUAAUUCUUCAUCGACGAGCAAUAACCAGAGUCUGAAUAUAUCUGGGAAUAUUCAUGAGACUGUAUCAAACGAAAAUUGCACAACUCGUAAUUCACUCGCAAAUAAAGUCCAUGAUUCAGCCUACAACAGCUCUACUUUGAAGACUGUUUCAAUGCAAAAUGUCUCGCCCGAUAAUAUAAUGUACGCCUGCAAGAAUAAUAAUAUUACAGCUCCCAUCGAUCGCACAAAUUCGAACGUAAACUCUAAUAUUGACGAGAUACAAUACUCGCAUUCGUGUAAAGAAAAUAUCAUGGACGAAGAAAGGAUACUUUGGCAAAUUCCUGAGGCUGUAAUUCGAUCGUGGGCGGCUGAAAUACUUGUAGCACUCGAGGCGCUUCAUCAACAGAAGGUCCUGAUCCUCGAUUUCAAGCCUGAUAAUAUUCUUCUCGACGCGGGACACGCGCGGCUCACUUAUAUUGUACCGCAACGCAAUGUGGAACUGUCCAGGCUGACUUAUCCAUACUCGUCGCCCGAAUGCACGAUGUAUUCGCCGACUAUUCUCGUAACAUCCGCUACAGACAUUUGGAGUUUUGGGGUUGUUCUGUACGAACUGCUUACUGGCGUUGUAUAUGUUUAUCGUUAAACAUCCGGGAUUGUUUCAUUCACAUUCCACAGUCAACAUUCCUGGCAGGCUAUCAGAAAAUGCAAGAUCCUUGUUGUAUGGCAUAUUGAAAUAUCAUCCAGAUGAACGACUGACAAUAGAUGAAAUAAAGCGUCAUCCAUUUUUCAUGGGGAUUGACUGGUUCAGUGUGGAGAAUUCUCAAACCUAAGGCUUAUAUAUCAUUAGACAAUUAAUAAAUUUCGCAUAAUUGUUAAUAAAAUGUUGAAUAUGUAUUUAUUAUUAUAGAGGAGAU